AACGAACGCUGGCGGCAGGCCUAACACAUGCAAGUCGAACGCGUCCUUCGGGACGAGUGGCAGACGGGUGAGUAACGCGUGGGAACGUACCCUUUGGUUCGGAACAACUCCGGGAAACUGGAGCUAAUACCGGAUAAGCCCUUCGGGGGAAAGUUUUAUCGCCAGAGGAUCGGCCCGCGUUAGAUUAGCUUGUUGGUGAGGUAAUGGCUCACCAAGGCUACGAUCUAUAGCUGGUCUGAGAGGAUGAUCAGCCACACUGGGACUGAGACACGGCCCAGACUCUUACGGGAGGCAGCAGUGGGGAAUCUUGGACAAUGGGCGAAAGCUUGAUCCAGCCAUGCCGCGUGAAUGAUGAAGGCCCUAGGGUUGUAAAAUUCUUUCGACGGGGAAGAUAAUGACGGUACCCGUAGAAGAAGCUCCGGCUAACUUCGUGCCAGCCGCCGCCGUAACAC
rnacentral:rRNA from 1 species